AGCGAACGCUGGCGGCAGGCCUAACACAUGCAAGUCGAGCGGCCGUAGCAAUACGGCAGCGGCAGACGGGAGAGUAACACGUGGGAACGCGCCCUUCGGUUCGGAAUAACUCAGGGAAACUUGAGCUAAUACCGGAUACGCCCUUACGGGGAAAGAUUUAUUGCCGAAGGAACGGCCCGCGUCCGAUUAGCUUGUUGGUGAGGUAACGGCUCACCAAGGCGACGAUCGGUAGCUGGUCUGAGAGGAUGACCAGCCUCACUGGGACUGAGACACGGCCCAGACUCCUACGGGAGGCAGCAGUGGGGAAUAUUGGACAAUGGGCGCAAGCCUGAUCCAGCCAUGCCGCGUGGGUGAUGAAGGCCCUAGGGUUGUAAAGCCCUUUCGGCGGGGAAGAUAAUGACGGUACCCGCAGAAGAAGCCCCGGCUAACUUCGUGCCAGCCGCCGCUGUAACAC
rnacentral:rRNA from 1 species